rnacentral:misc_RNA from 1 species
GAUGAAGAACGCAGCGAAAUGCGAUAAGUAAUGUGAAUUGCAGAAUUCAGUGAAUCAUCGAAUCUUUGUACGCACAUUGCGCCCGCUAGUAUUCUGGCGGGCAUGCCUGUCCGAGCGUCAUUUCAACCCUCAAGCCCCCGGGCUUGGUGUUGGGGAUCGGCGAGCCUCCGCGCCCGCCGUCCCCUAAAUCUAGUGGCGGUCUCGCUGUAGCUUCCUCUGCGUAGUAGCACACCUCGCACUGGGAAACAGCGCGGCCACGCCGUUAAACCCCCAACUUCUGAACGUUUGACCUCGGAUCAGGUAGGAAUACCCGCUGAACUUAAGCAUAUCAAUAAGCGGAGGA